rnacentral:RNase_P_RNA from 1 species
CCAGCUGGCCGGGCAGCCGCGCAUGUCAUGAGCCGAAAGGCGGCAUGUGAGGAAAGUCCGGGCUCCAGGGAAACACGGUGCCGGAUAACGUCCGGCGGGGGCGACCCCAGGGAAAGUGCCACAGAAAGGAAACCGCCCCGUCUUUCGUUGCGCCGGGUCCGAAUUGGGCCGGACGCAAGGAAUGACGGGGUAAGGGUGAAAGGGUGGGGUAAGAGCCCACCGCGCAACUGGUAACAGCGGCGGCAUGGCAAACCCCACCGGGAGCAAAACCGAAUAGGGACGGCGUGCCGGGCGAAAGUCCGGCGAUCAGUUUCCGGGUCAGUCGUCCGGGUAGGUUGCAGGAGGCGGGUGGUAACAUCCGUCCAAGAUGAAUGGCUGCCGCGCCGGGCGAGAGCCCGGCCAUACAGAACCCGGCUUACAGGCCAGCUGGCACU